UGAAGUAUCAGGCUCUGGCUCUAGCUUUAGCUCUGGCACUGGAACUGCGUCGGAGUCUGGGUCUGAGUCUGGCAGCCCGAAGCCUGGACACCUUUUCUUGAUUCUCUAGGCGGGGGCUGCCUGCGUCCAAGCAGCUGGUUUGCAGCGUUCCAACGCUGGGAGGGAGUUCCCUUACCUGGGGUCCAGUCUGUAAAGUUGUCGCCGCUUUCUAGGGACCCCGCCCCACCGGCUGGGACUCUUCCAUGCAGUUGAAACUGGUUGACAACCAUUAACCUGGGUUGCAACUACAGGUGGCACUGGAAGCAGACUGGUUCCUGGACAUGCCCGGUGGAAGGAGGGGCCCUAGUCGGCAACAGCUAAGCCGUUCAGCUUUACCUUCUUUGCAGACUUUGGUUGGUGGAGGCUGUGGCAAUGGAACAGGCUUGAGAAACAGGAAUGGUAGUGCUAUUGGCCUUCCAGUCCCACCUAUCACAGCCUUAAUCACCCCAGGUCCUGUUCGUCAUUGCCAAAUUCCUGACUUGCCUGUGGAUGGGAGCCUACUCUUUGAAUUCCUUUUUUUCAUCUACCUGUUGGUUGCUCUUUUCAUUCAGUACAUCAACAUUUAUAAAACAGUGUGGUGGUAUCCUUACAAUCAUCCUGCUUCUUGUACAUCACUGGUUUGGUGUUUAUGUUCCUCUUUGCUGUUUUCAUCAAGAUAGUAGAGCACAUCUUCUUCUCACAGACUACAACUAUGUGGUUCAGCACGAGGCAGUAGAGGAAAGUGCCUCGACUGUGGGAGGCUUGGCCAAAUCCAAAGACUUUCUCUCCUUGUUGCUGGAGUCGCUAA
rnacentral:lncRNA from 1 species